GACGAACGCUGGCGGCGUGCUUAACACAUGCAAGUCGAGCGGAAAGGCCCUUCGGGGUACUCGAGCGGCGAACGGGUGAGUAACACGUGGGUAACCUGCCCCAGACUUUGGGAUAACCCUCGGAAACGGGGGCUAAUACCGGAUACGACACAGCUUCGCAUGGGGUCUGUGUGGAAAGUUUUUCGGUUUGGGAUGGGCUCGCGGCCUAUCAGCUUGUUGGUGGGGUGAUGGCCUACCAAGGCGACGACGGGUAGCCGGCCUGAGAGGGCGACCGGCCACACUGGGACUGAGACACGGCCCAGACUCCUACGGGAGGCAGCAGUGGGGAAUAUUGCACAAUGGGCGGAAGCCUGAUGCAGCGACGCCGCGUGAGGGAUGACGGCCUUCGGGUUGUAAACCUCUUUCAGCAGGGACGAAGCGUAAGUGACGGUACCUGCAGAAGAAGCGCCGGCCAACUACGUG
rnacentral:rRNA from 1 species